rnacentral:rRNA from 1 species
GUGCCAGCAGCCGCGGUAAUACGUAGGUGGCAAGCGUUGUCCGGAUUUAUUGGGUUUAAAGGGUGCGUAGGUGGCUAACUAAGUCAGUGGUGAAAUAUCUCAGCUUAACUGAGAGGGUGCCAUUGAUACUGGAUAGCUUGAGUACAGAUGAGGUAGGCGGAAUUGACGGUGUAGCGGUGAAAUGCAUAGAUAUCGUCAAGAACACCGAUAGCGAAGGCAGCUUACCAAGCUGUAACUGACACUGAGGCACGAAAGUGUGGGGAUCAAACAGGAUUAGAUACCCCAGUAGUCC